AUUGAACGCUGGCGGCAGGCUUAACACAUGCAAGUCGAGCGGAGAGAGGUAGCUUGCUACUGAUCUUAGAGGCGGACGGGUGAGUAAUGCUUAGGAAUCUGCCUAUUAGUGGGGGACAACAUUUCGAAAGGAAUGCUAAUACCGCAUACGUCCUACGGGAGAAAGCAGCGGAUCUUCGGACCUUGCGCUAAUAGGUGAGCCUAAGUCGGAUUAGGUAGUUGGUGGGGUAAAGGCCUACCAAGGCGACGAUCUGUAGAGGGUCUGAGAGGAUGAUCCGCCACACUGGGACUGAGACACGGCCCAGACUCCUACGGGAGGCAGCAGUGAGGAAUAUUGGACAAUGGGCGGAAGCCUGAUCCAGCCAUGCCGCGUGUGUGAAGAAGGCCUUAUGGUUGUAAAGCACUUUAAGCGAGGAGGAGGCUACUUUAGUUAAUACCUAGAGAUAGUGGACGUUACUCGCAGAAUAAGCACCGGCUAACUCUGUGCCAGCCGCCGCCGUAAAAC
rnacentral:rRNA from 1 species